rnacentral:lncRNA from 1 species
GUGCCAUCUGGCACAACACCGUUCUGCUCAUGCACAGACCCACUCCCAACUGCCUGUAGCUACCAUCGCUUCUAUUCAAAAGGUCUCUUUCCUGAACCGUCUGCUCCUCCCCCUGCAUUCGUCAGAAGAUGUUGCUCAAGCUGCCACCAUCCUCUUAGGCCCCUUGUCUUACCUGGCUCCCAUUUCAUCCGCUCAAGAACCAUCUGUGGCUGAUGUGGACUCGAGAACAGAGCCCAGAGCUUUCAAGCCUCCCCGACAUCUGAACCCCAGAUAUCAGAUCCAACAGUCCACGGAGCCUGCUCUCAUCAACCAGAAGAAACAAUCAAUCCUCUCCCUAGCCACAGCUGUCAGGACUCACAUCACUUACCGGCUCUGCCCUCCAGGACUAAUGAAAAAACGUAAUGUAAAUCAGCUUGGAUCCAGGACAGAUAAGCUGUAGAAACACUGUCUGCACUUCAGGAGCAUAUCUGCGUAAAGAUAUAUGGAAAUAUAGACAAAAUCCUAAAGGUAA